GAUGAACGCUGGCGGCGUGCUUAACACAUGCAAGUCGAACGGAAAGGCCCAAGCUUGCUUGGGUACUCGAGUGGCGAACGGGUGAGUAACACGUGGGUGAUCUGCCCUGCACUUCGGGAUAAGCCUGGGAAACUGGGUCUAAUACCGGAUAGGACGAUGGUUUGGAUGCCAUUGUGGAAAGUUUUUUCGGUGUGGGAUGAGCUCGCGGCCUAUCAGCUUGUUGGGGGGGUAAUGGGCUACCAAGGCGUCGACGGGUAGCCGGGCUGGGAGGGGGUACGGCCACAUUGGGGCUGGGAUACGGCCCAGACCCCUACGGGGGGGAGGAGUGGGGAAUAUUGCACAAUGGGGGCGAGCCUGAUGCAGCGACGCCGCGGGGGGGAAGACGGCCUUCGGGUUGGAAACUCCUUUCGCUAGGGACGAAGCGUUUUGUGACGGUACCUGGAGAAGAAGCACCGGCUAACUACGUG
rnacentral:rRNA from 1 species